GGGGGUGUCUUAGGCUUGUGGUCUAACAAGGCUGUACUGUUAUCAGCCAGGAGUGACUAAAGGGCUGGAGAUAUGGACUCAGACCAUCCAGGUGGGACUCAGAUCCUGAAGUUCUGAAGUUAGUCGCCAGCAGUUCUCCAGAGAAGCGGGACCUCCAGGAGCCAUGGGCAACAAGUUCACAGCAGCUUGGGGCGGAGGCACACCAUCCAACGAAGUCACUAAAGAAAAGAAGUGCCUUUUCAAAACGUAUUCCAACUUGGAGACCUUUGCAAAAGCACCUGGGCCGUGAUAGGAAGAACACUGGGUCAAGGGGCCCUCCGUUCAUGUUCCGCAGUGAACCAGUGGGAUGACUUGGGGAGUGUGUUUAACCUGCUUGUACCUUGGCCCCUCAUGUGUGAAAUGGGGACCUGACUACCCCAUGAGGUUGUUCUGAGGAUUAAAGGAAUUGAAAUGCGUGAAGUACAAA